rnacentral:rRNA from 1 species
GACGAACGCUGGCGGCGUGCCUAAUACAUGCAAGUAGAACGCUGAAGGAGGAGCUUGCUUCUCUGGAUGAGUUGCGAACGGGUGAGUAACGCGUAGGUAACCUGCCUGGUAGCGGGGGAUAACUAUUGGAAACGAUAGCUAAUACCGCAUAAGAGUAGAUGUUGCAUGACAUUUGCUUAAAAGGUGCAAUUGCAUCACUACCAGAUGGACCUGCGUUGUAUUAGCUAGUUGGUGGGGUAACGGCUCACCAAGGCGACGAUACAUAGCCGACCUGAGAGGGUGAUCGGCCACACUGGGACUGAGACACGGCCCAGACUCCUACGGGAGGCAGCAGUAGGGAAUCUUCGGCAAUGGACGGAAGUCUGACCGAGCAACGCCGCGUGAGUGAAGAAGGUUUUCGGAUGGUAAAGCUCUGUUGUAAGAGAAGAACGAGUGUGAGAGUGGAAAGUUCACACUGUGACGGUAUCUUACCAGAAAGGGACGGCUAACUACGUG